rnacentral:rRNA from 1 species
UACAGAGGCUGCAAGCGUUAUUCGGAUUCACUGGGCGUAAAGGGUGCGCAGGCGGUUGGGUGAGUCAGAUGUGAAAUCCCGAGGCUUAACCUCGGAACUGCGUCUGAAACUACUCGACUAGAGUACUGGAGAGGGUAACGGAAUUCACGGUGUAGCAGUGAAAUGCGUAGAUAUCGUGAGGAACACCUGCGGCGAAGGCGGGUAGCUGGGCCGACACUGACGCUGAGGCGCGAAAGCCAGGGGAGCGAACGGG